GCCUGAAUAGCACAGCUGGUUAGGAUGUGGUGCUGAUAGUGCCAAGGUUGCUGGUUCGAUUCCCGUAGGGGACA